rnacentral:lncRNA from 1 species
GUGCCUGACCGCGCUGCUCCCCCACCGGUGGGAGACUGGCUCAGCUCCCAGGGCAGUGGGUGAGGUGCAGGUGGCGCAGCACUCGGGCCAACCCGGCACAAAUGAACCUGACGCUCCUAGGGCCGGCCCUGCGUGUACCAGCUGCGCUGUCGGCCAGGUAUUCACCUCCCCCAGCAUGCAGUGGGAAGUGAGGUUGAGGCCGCGGUGGAGGCCGGGCGCGAGAGCAGGUGCUGCCCGGCCGUGCGAGGGUGGGGGUGGUGCAGUCGGCUGCCUCGGGGACGCGGGGUACAGGGGACCCACCGCCACCACUGCUGCUCUCACAGCUGCUCCUGCUGCCGCCUCUUGCGCCUCCCCACUGCAGCCCACAUGAUAGCAGCGGCCCCUCCGGAUGGCCUGCCGCUGCCAUCAGCAAGAACGUGAGCCAUGGUGAUGGAAGCCUCUUCCAAACCAAAGUGCUUAAUAAGUGCUCGUGAGGACCAUACAAUGUGGAAGGAACCUGGGUCCCUGAAAAUUCCCACAGAAGGCUACUGACCAAGAAAUCUUUCAAAAGACUAUGACAGGAGCAAAAACUACAUUUUUAUUGGGUUAAACUACAGAGAUUUCUGGGUGUAUCUGUUACAGCAACUGGUGUUAAUUAAACAGAGAAGAGCACCGUUCCAUUUUCUCUUUAAGGUUGGAGUAUUAAAUUGCCUCUAUUGUCUCUUUUACGGUAUUGAUAUUUUUUGAUUGAUUGAUCGACCAGGUUUCUUUACUAUCAAUUCUUCACCUUUAAUGGGC